CGGAUCGAAGUCUGCAACCCGACUUCGUGAAGCUGGAUUCGCUAGUAAUCGCGCAUCAGCCACGGCGCGGUGAAUACGUUCCCGGGCCUUGUACACACCGCCCGUCAAGCCAUGGGAGCCGGGGGUACCUGAAGUACGUAACCGCAAGGAGCGUCCUAGGGUAAAACUGGUGACUGGGGCUAAGUCGUAACAAGGUAGC
rnacentral:rRNA from 1 species